rnacentral:sRNA from 1 species
UGCCUAACCCUUGUGAGAAUAAAAUCUCCGAGGUAUGGCACAAAAUCCUCCGCAACAUAGAUGGUCGCCUGACCAUACUUCUGUUGCGGAGGUCUAUCCCGAAAGGGGUAGGGCGUUCCUUUGGGGAUGC